GUACUCUCAGGAGAGUAAACGUAGUUUCAUUCUGGGAUACAGGUACUCUCAGGAGAGUAAACGUAGUUUCAUUCUGGGCUACAGGUACUCUCAGGAGAGUAAACGUAGUUUCAUUCUGGGCUACAGGUACUCUCAGAAGAGUAAACGUGUUUUCAUUCUGGGCUACAGGUACUCUCAGGAGAGUAAAGACAAAUGCCAGCUUUUUAACUUCAUUCUGGGGACUGCAAAGAUGGCCGUGUAUCUGAGCAGGAGAAACCGAAUAGAGAAAGCGGUGGAUGAUGAUGCUGUGUUUGUGUUUGU